CGUUGUAACACCAGAUCUCCUAUGAUCACCGAAAUGAAGCAUAGUCGCCCUUUGUCAGUACCUAGAUGGGUGACUGCUUGGGAAUAUCACAUGCUGUAA